GACGAACGCUGGCGGCGUGCUUAACACAUGCAAGUCGAACGCUGAAGCCCUUUCGGGGGUGGAUGAGUGGCGAACGGGAGAGUAACACGUGGGUAAUCUGCCCUGUACUUCGGGAUAAGCCUUGGAAACGGGGUCUAAUACCGGAUAGGACCUGUCCUCGCAUGGGGGUGGGUGGAAAGUUCCGGCGGUAUGGGAUGAGCCCGCGGCCUAUCAGCUUGUUGGUGGGGUAGUGGCCUACCAAGGCGACGACGGGUAGCCGGCCCGAGAGGGUGACCGGUCACACUGGGACUGAGACACGGCCCAGACUCCUACGGGAGGCAGCAGUGGGGAAUCUUGCGCAAUGGGCGAAAGCCUGACGCAGCAACGCCGCGUGGGGGAUGACGGCCUUCGGGUUGUAAACCUCUUUCGACAUCGACGAAGGGGCCCUGUUGUGGGGUUUUGACGGUAGGUGUAGAAGAAGCACCGGCUAACUACGUGCCAGCCGCCGCCGUAA
rnacentral:rRNA from 1 species